GAUAUAUGCCACUCACGUGGAUAACUGUGGUAAUUCUAGAGCUAAUACAUGCAAACAAGUCCCGACCAGCGAUGGCGAGGACGCUUUUAUUGGAUCAAAACCUUUCGCCCGGCCUGCCCGGGCGUCGUCUUGAUGACUCUAGAUAACACCACAGAUCGCACGGUCACAGUACCGGUGACAUAUCCUUCAAAUG
rnacentral:rRNA from 1 species